UACGUAGGGUGCAAGCGUUGUCCGGAAUUAUUGGGCGUAAAGAGCUCGUAGGCGGUUCGUCGCGUCGGCUGUGAAAACCCGGAGCUCAACUCCGGGCCUGCAGUCGAUACGGGCGGACUUGAGUGUUGCAGGGGAGACUGGAAUUCCUGGUGUAGCGGUGGAAUGCGCAGAUAUCAGGAGGAACACCGAUGGCGAAGGCAGGUCUCUGGGCCGCAACUGACGCUGAGGAGCGAAAGCAUGGGGAGCGAACAGG
rnacentral:rRNA from 1 species